UACGUAGGGUGCGAGCGUUGUCCGGAAUUAUUGGGCGUAAAGAGCUCGUAGGCGGUGUGUCACGUCGGCCGUGAAAACCUGCAGCUUAACUGUGGGCGUGCGGUCGAUACGGGCAUCACUGGAGUUCGGCAGGGGAGACUGGAAUUCCUGGUGUAGCGGUGAAAUGCGCAGAUAUCUGAAGGAACAUCAGUGGUGAAAGCGACUUCCUGGACCAAUACUGACGCUCAUGUGCGAAAGCGUGGGGAGCAAACAGG
rnacentral:rRNA from 1 species